rnacentral:rRNA from 1 species
CGCCAUCGAAUGAGGCAAGACUACCCGCUGAACUUAAGCAUAUCACUAAGCGGAGGAGAAGAAACUAACCAGGAUGCCCCUAGUAAUGGCGAAUGAAGCGGGCUGAGCUCACGCUGCCAAUCUGGAGGCCUCGCGUAUGCAGCGCCCCCCGAAUUGUGGUCUAGAGAGGCGUUAUCGGCCGCGCCCGCCGCUCAAGUCCCUUGGAACAGGGUGUCGGAGAGGGUGAGAAUCCCGUACCGUGGCGGGUUGCGGCCUUACGAUGCGUCCUCGUCGAGUCGGGUUGCUUGGGAUUGCAGCUUGAAUUGGGUGGUAAAUUCCAUCUAAAGCUAAAUACUGGCGAGAGACCGAUAGCGAACAAGUACCGUGAGGGAAAGAUGCAAAGAACUUUGAAAAGAGAGUCAAAGAGUGCUUGAAAUCGGUAGGAGGAAACCCGGAUGGGCCCGGCUUCGGCGCGCCGACUCAGCCUGGGGUUCUCCCCAGGUGCACUUCUGCGCGCCGGGUCAGCCGCGCCUCGGCGCCGCGCCUCAACCCGGGAGCGGGGCUUUACGGCCAGCUCCCGUCCUGGCGCGGCCCGGGGCCCGGCUGACGGAACGGGCCCCUCCGACCCGUCUAGAAACACGGACCAAGGAGUCUGACACGUGUGCGAGUACCCGGGUGGCAAGCCCGCGUGCGGAAUGAAAGUGAAGGGCAUGCCCUGCCAACCGACCUUGACCUGCUGUGAGGGGUUUGAGUGGAGCACACCUGUCGGGACCCGAAAGAUGGUGAACUAUGCCUGGGUAGGGUGAAGCCAGAGGAAACUCUGGUGGAGGCUCGUAGCGAUACUGACGUGCAAAUCGUUCGUCGAAUCUGGGUAUAGGGGCGAAAGACUAAUCGAACCAUCUAGUAGCUGGUUCCCUCCGAAGUUUCCCUCAGGAUAGCUUGAACGCAACGGUUUUGUCAGGUAAAGCGAAUGAUUAGAGGCCUGUGGGCUGAAACAGCUUGCACCUAUUCUCAAACUUUAAAUGGGCAAGAGGCCCGGGAUGCUUGAGUGAUCCCGGGCGGCGAACGGCGCGUUCAAAGUGGGCCAUUUUUGGUAAGCAGAACUGGCGAUGCGGGAUGAACCGAACGCCGCGCUAAGGUACCCAAGUGUCCGCUCAUCAGAUACCACAAAAGGCGUUGGUACCUCCAGACAGCAGGACGGUGGCCAUGGAAGUCGGAACCCGCUAAGGAGUGUGUAACAACUCACCUGCCGAAGGUACUAGCCCUGAAAAUGGAUGGCGCUCAAGCGGACCACCGAUGCGCGGCCGCCGGCGCGAGCGCGAGGCGCCGGCGAGUAGGAGGGCGCGGGGCUCGCGGCGCAGCCUUGGGCGCGAGCCUGGGUGAAGCGGGCCCCGGUGCAGAUCUUGGUGGUAGUAGCAAAUAUUCAAAUGAGAACUUUGAAGACUGAAGUGGAGAAAGGUUCCGUGUGAACAGCAGUUGGACACGGGUGAGCCGACCCUAAGAGACAGGAAAACUCCGCCGAACGCGGCUGGUUCUGUCAGCCCGUCCGUCGAAAGGGAAUCGGGUUAAUAUUCCCGAGCCAGCGCGUGGAUGGUGGGCGGCGACGCGAACGAACCCGGAGACGCCGGCGGGAGCCCUGGGAAGAGUUCUCUUUUCUUCUUAACUGCCUCCUGCCCUGGAAUCGGUUUAGCCGGAGCGAGGGCUACACGGCAGGCAAAGCACCCUAAGUCUUGGGGUGUCCGGCGCGCUCCCGACGGCCCGUGAAAAUCCGGGGGAGCGGUUCGUUCUCACGCCUGGUCGUACUCAUAACCGCAUCAGGUCUCCAAGGUGAACAGCCUCUAGUCGAUAGAGCAAUGUAGGUAAGGGAAGUCGGCAAAAUGGUUCCGCAACCUCGGGAGAAGGAAUGGCUCUGAAGGCUGGGCGCAGGGGUCCUAGGCUCGAGGCCGGCUGGCUGCGCGGGGACUACGGCCUCACGGCUGCGGAUCCCGCGCGGCCGUCCGGCGGACGGCCUAGGAGCGCUCCGGCUCUCCCUGCGCGACGAACAGCCGCUUCAGAACUGGCGCGGACAAGGGGAAUCCGACUGUUUAAUUAAAACAAAGCAUUGCGAUGGCCCGCGAGGGUGCUGACGCAAUGUGAUUUCUGCCCAGUGCUCUGAAUGUCAAAGUGAAGAAAUUCAACCAAGCGCGGGUAAACGGCGGGAGUAACUAUGACUCUCUUAAGGUAGCCAAAUGCCUCGUCAUCCAAUUAGUGACGCGCAUGAAUGGAUUCGUGAGAUUCCCACUGUCCCUAUCUACUGUCUAGCGAAACCACAGCCAAGGGAACGGGCUUGGAAGAAUCAGCGGGGAAAGAAGACCCUGUUGAGCUUGACUCUAGUCUGUUACUGUGGAACGACUUGAUGGGUGUAGAAUAUGCGGGAGGGGCAACCCGACAGUGAAAUACCGCAACCGUCAACGUUGUUUUACUUACUCGGUGGCGCGGAGGGAGGCUCGCCUCACUUCUGGAUCCAAGCCGCUUCGUGCGCGCGAUCCGCGUCGGGGACACUAACAGGUGGGGAGUUUGGCUGGGGCGGCACGUCUGUUAAAAAAUAACGCAGGCGCCCGAUUUUGAGCUCAAUGAGAACAGAAAUCUCAUGUGGACCGAAAGGGGAAAAGCUCGGUUGAUUUUGAUUUUCAGUACGAAUACAAACCGCGAAAGCGUGGCCUAUCGAUCCUCUCGUCUUUGGGAAUUUCAAGCUAGAGGUGUCAGAAAAGUUACCACAGGGAUAACUGGCUUGUGGCUGCCAAGCGUUCAUAGCGACGUAGCUUUUUGAUCCUUCGAUGUCGGCUCUUCCUAUCACUGCCUCGCAGCGGGGGCCAAAUGCAGGAUUGUUCACCCACCAACAGGGAACGUGAGCUGGGUUUAGACCGUCGUGAGACAGGUUAGUUUUACCCUACUGCUGUCUGUUUUUCUACGGUAAUUUGGUUCAGUACGAGAGGAACCACCAAUUCGCAUCAUCGGUAUAGCCGCCGCCGGAAACGGCGAUGCGGCGAAGCUGCCAUGCGCCGGAUUAUAACUGAACGCCUCUAAGUUAGAAUCCAUGCCGGAAGGAAGCCACCUACCGGCCCGGGACGCCACGAGCAACGGUGCCGCAGCACUGCCUGAGCCGCGAGCGACCACAAUUCACGGACCCGGGCCGACGAAUCCCUUGCAGACGACUUGAAUAAGGAACGGGGUAUUGUACGCGGCAGAGUGGCCUUGUUGCCACGAUCCGCUGAGAUUCAGCCUUGGUUCUGACGAUUUGU